UCUCCGUUGGUGAACCAGCGGAGGGAUCAUUACUGGAAUCGCAAGAUCCCACAACCUUGUGAACCUACGGAAACUUUGCCUCGGCGGGAGCCUGGGCCCCUCGCUGGGAGGUGCCCCCGCCGGCGGCCCCCUAAUCCGUCUCUGUAGGUAUGCAGCUAGGAUUAUCAGAAAAUAAUGCAAAACUUUCAACAACGGGUCGCUUUGCUCUUGCAUCGAGGAAGAACGCAGCAGAACCGAAGAGCUGACUUCUGAACUCCAAUCACGUCGUACAGUACGGUU
rnacentral:misc_RNA from 1 species